UGCAGUCGAGCGACUGAUUAGAAGCUUGCUUCUAUGACGUUAGCGGCGGACGGGUGAGUAACACGUGGGCAACCUGCCUGUAAGACUGGGAUAACUUCGGGAAACCGAAGCUAAUACCGGAUAGGAUCUUCUCCUUCAUGGGAGAUGAUUGAAAGAUGGUUUCGGCUAUCACUUACAGAUGGGCCCGCGGUGCAUUAGCUAGUUGGUGAGGUAACGGCUCACCAAGGCAACGAUGCAUAGCCGACCUGAGAGGGUGAUCGGCCACACUGGGACUGAGACACGGCCCAGACUCCUACGGGAGGCAGCAGUAGGGAAUCUUCCGCAAUGGACGAAAGUCUGACGGAGCAACGCCGCGUGAGUGAUGAAGGCUUUCGGGUCGUAAAACUCUGUUGUUAGGGAAGAACAAGUACGAGAGUAACUGCUCGUACCUUGACGGUACCUAACCAGAAAGCCACGGCUAACUACGUGCCAGCAGCCGCGGUAAUACGUAGGUGGCAAGCGUUAUCCGGAAUUAUUGGGCGUAAAGCGCGCGCAGGCGGUUUCUUAAGUCUGAUGUGAAAGCCCACGGCUCAACCGUGGAGGGUCAUUGGAAACUGGGGAACUUGAGUGCAGAAGAGAAAAGCGGAAUUCCACGUGUAGCGGUGAAAUGCGUAGAGAUGUGGAGGAACACCAGUGGCGAAGGCGGCUUUUUGGUCUGUAACUGACGCUGAGGCGCGAAAGCGUG
rnacentral:rRNA from 2 species